rnacentral:rRNA from 1 species
CAGUCGCCGCGGUAAUACGAAGGGUGCAAGCGUUAAUCGGAAUUACUGGGCGUAAAGCGCUCGUAGGUGGUUUGGUAAGAUGGAUGUGAAAUCCCCGGGCUCAACCUGGGAACUGCAUCCAUAACUGCCUGACUAGAGUACGGUAGAGGGUGGUGGAAUUUCCUGUGUAGCGGUGAAAUGCGUAGAUAUAGGAAGGAACACCAGUGGCGAAGGCGACCACCUGGACUGAUACUGACACUGAGGUGCGAAAGCGUGGGGAGCAAACAGGAUUAGAUACCCGUGUAGUCCCUGUCUCUUAUAC